rnacentral:rRNA from 1 species
CAAUAGCGUAUAUUAUAGUUGUUGCAGUUAAAAGCUCGUAGUUGGACUUCUGAUGUGGGGAUUCGGUCCACCGCAAGGUGAGCACUGAUGUCCUUGCGUCUUCCUCUCGUAGUUGUUUGGCGCACUUAGUUGGGUGCCAGAUGAAAUAUGGGACCUUUACUUUUGAAAAAUUAGAAGUGUUCAAAGCAGGCGAUCGCUUGAAUACAUUAGCAUGGAAUAAUAGAAAUAGGACUUUGGUUCUAUUUUGUUGGUUUUCUAGGUACCGAAGUAAUGAUUAAUAGGGACAGUUGGGGGGCAUUAGGUAUUUAAUUGUCAGAGGUGAAAUUCUUGGAUUUAUGAAAGACUAACUACUGCGAAAAGCAUUUGCCAAGGAU